CCCUUAGAUGUUCUGGGCUGCACGCGUGCUACAAUGAAGCGUCCAACAAGAUGCGAAGCCGAAAGGCUCAGCGGAUCUUUGAAGUCGUUUCGUGACCGGGACAGUUGAUUGCAAUUAUUCGACUCGAACGAGGAAUUCCUUGUAAUCGCGAUUCAUCAUAUCGCGCUGAAUACGUCCCUGCCCUUUGUACACACCGCCCGUCGCUCCUACCGAUUGAGCGAUCCGGUGAAUUAUUUGGAGUGUCCACGCAAGCCAAUCCGUUUACGUGGGUGCGAAAUUUUGUAAACCUUAUCGCUUAGAGGAAGGAAAAGUCGUNACA
rnacentral:rRNA from 1 species